AGGUUUUGCAUAAAGCAUGCAGCAGAUUUUUUAUACAACUUGAGCAGCAAACUAAGGGAGAGCCAAUACAAUUUGAAGAUCCAAACCUACUUCCUUUGCUUGCUGAAUUUUCAUAUAUAUUUGACGAACCGUACAACCUACCUCUUACCCGUCGGCAUGAUCAUUAUAUAAUAAUUCUUUCAGGCAAACCUCCAGCAAAUACUCGGC
rnacentral:lncRNA from 1 species